rnacentral:lncRNA from 1 species
AUCUGCUAUUGACCACAGGAUUGAUGCUCUCCUCAUGAUAGCAACCAAGUCACUGAAAUCAACCCCACUGGAGAAAAUGUUUUCAACUACUUGGAAAUAAACACAAUCUCAUCAGGAUCAGCUACAUGUAUGGUUAUGUGAAAAUGUCCAACAUCUUUCUUCUGGCUUUCAGAAGCAUAGCACACCAUUGUCCUCCAUGGUCGCCCUGCUGUCCUUGCUACACCAGGCAACCGGGAGAAUGGCCAGAAAGUGAAGUCUUUGCACCCUGAGGCUAAUAUCACAUUGCUCUGCGGAGAUGGAUUCAGCCCAGAUUUUCCCCACUAACACAUAAUGAGAUUGAAAAGAGAAAAGUCUUGGUGACUCGCUGAAGAUCCAGUGGGCAGUUACUGAAGGAUUCAAAUCUGUAAAGGAGUCUUCUAACGUCAAGAUGAAAGAAAUGAGCCUCAAAAGUGAAAUAAAUGACCGACUGACAACCCGGAGCUGCUGGAUGGGGAGUCUGAGCCCAGGACCCAGGGCUGAUUGGCUCCAACACCCUGUCUGCCCUCACAGCAUUCUCUCAGCCCCAGAAGAGAAAGUCUGUAGUCGUGUGCAAUUCUCUUGUCACUUUGCUAUCAUAUAUGAGACUAAAUAGCAGAAGGCUGGCUUUCCCGAAGGAGUGUGGGAUUUGACUUCACACAGGCCUGUAGUUCCCAUGGAUCAAAGACACAUGCAUGUGGAGCCAUGCUUUCAAUUCUAGGUGCUUCCACAAUGAAAGGAUGAAUUGGGGUCAGUGGUCCCCACAACAUCUUCUGGCCUAACAGGAAAGAGAAACGUAAAAAGUGCUUUUGAAAAGACAGAUGCUAGGGAUCAAAUCCCAGGAACACCUCUUCUUAAAGCAGGAGUUUUGCACAGCAUCUGUAAGGAUGUGUCAGAUGACAAAUGGGUGUGAGAUGGAGUCCACUGUUUUCCUAGGACCUGGAAACAUUUGUGUCCUAGUCACUCCUCAGACGGACAGGCACUUUUUCCAAAUAAGGACGAAAUCAGCUUUCCUCUGUCAGUGGCUGCUGCCCAUCCCCAGUUCCCCAAUGCAAUGCCAGCCUGGAAAUAAGUUUCAGCAAAGACAUACUUAAUUUUCUGUUUGAAAGAACAUCGAAAGGAGGUGGACACUUCAGGACACUGGGCAUACACCAAAAGGUAUGACAGUCAAUGCUCUCUUUCUGUCACCAUGGUGAAAUACCUCUGAUAAUUCAGAAAGGUGUGUCAGCUCACAGUGCCUGAGGUUCCAUUCGCGAUCAAGUGGACCACAGACCAGACCUCUGGUCAGGGUGCCUGGUGAAAAUUCAGGGCACACAUGCUCACUUUCCACCCAGGAAGAGAGCAGGACCAUGCAGUUUCCUAUGGAGAAUAUUCCAGAGACAAAGAUUUCUCACAGGGCCCCACCUCCUAAAGGUCCAAGCACCUUCCUCCUUGCCACCAUGGUGACCACCGUGCCUCAGGAGACGCCCAUCUAAACUACAGAAGGCAGCCAGGUUCCCUACAGUCAGACACCCAUCGAUCCCACCUGGGUGGAAGAAGGUGGCUGAAUCACUUCAAAAUCCUCAGCCUGUCUGAGUCCCCACUAAAAUGUAAGCACAGGGAGAAUAAGGACUUGAUCGUAUCCACCACUGAAUCCUAGAGUCUAGAAAAGAUCCUGCCAGAGUCAGCAGCACAAUAUUUAGUGGUGGGAGGAAAAAUGAAGGAAGGGGAAGAAGGGCAAAAUGGAAGAAGGAAAGCAAGUGGGCAGAAAUACGCCAGUUGAUUCAGAUUUUCUGGAUUGACAAGUAUAAUUGUUAUAACUGCAGCUGAAAUAACACUUGCUGAUGCCACCACUGUGUAUAAAGGGAUGUGGAGAAGUUGAGAGUAUUUAUCAUAACUGGGGUGGGAGGACUAACACCUUAGGGGUGGCCUGAACUGAGAGCCUGAGUUAAAGCUGAGUGACUUCAAGCAAAGGUCUCCUUUGUCCUUCUAGGUCCCGGAGGACAAGGGCUCUAGCUCAGGUUUGGUGCCUGAAGGCAGAAAAACA